GCCCCUGUGGCUUAAUGGAUAAGGCAUC
rnacentral:sRNA from 1 species